AUUAGUGAUGUGAUUCUAUACGACGAAUCGGUAUUAAAAUCUUGUUUUUCCAUCUCAAAGGCUUCACUUUGUGAAUUUCUAACUAAUAUCGGAUCGGAGUGACAUAAAAAAAAAAACAAAAUAUCAUGAGGAGAAGUUGUCCCAGGGAAAUGAAUUGCAGAGGAACACUGCUCCUAACUGCAGAUGUCUUCGAACAGUACUUCAUUGCCACCAAGGGGUGCUUGACUGAGAUCACAAUGUUCAAAAUGUUGGAGGCUUAUCUAAACCAUAAUGGGUACAAUAAGGCGGUAAGAACAUCUUCUGGAAAAUUUUCUUGUGAAUGCGGCAGUCAAGAAGAGAAGAAAGAUGACUUGGACUCAUCAUCUGUGCCCAUCACAGAAGAUUCAAAUGGUUUGAGGAUCAAACAUCAAAAAUACAUAAAAAAUCUAUUGAGCCAUAUAAAUUUCGUUAAAAUUAGUCCCCGAGAUUUUUACCAUGUAGUCGGCCAGUCUGCUUGGUUGAGCUAUCAGGAAAAAUACAAAUAUUUCUGCUUAAUCAAUACAAGACUUCAUCCAGAAGAAUUUCGUUGAGUAUGUACAUUUAAUUUUUAAUAAAGCUUUACCUUUGACCUUGUAAA
rnacentral:sRNA from 1 species